rnacentral:rRNA from 1 species
CCUACGGGGGGCAGCAGUGGGGAAUAUUGCACAAUGGGGGAAACCCUGAUGCAGCGACGCCGCGUGAGCGAUGAAGUAUUUCGGUAUGUAAAGCUCUAUCAGCAGGGAAGUAGAUGACGGUACCUGACUAAGAAGCCCCGGCGAACUACGUUCCAGCAGCCGCGGUAACACGUAGGGGGCAAGCGUUAUCCGGAUUUACUGGGUGUAAAGGGAGCGUAGACGGCGAUGCAAGCCAGGUGUGAAAGCCCGGGGCGCAAACCCGGGACUGCAGUUGGAACUGUGUGGCUGGAGUGUCGGCGAGGCAGGCGGAAGUCCUGGUGUAGCGGUGAAAUGAGUAGAUAUUAGGAGGAACACCAGUGGCGAAGGCGGCGUGCUGGACGAUGACUGACGUUGAGGCUCGAAAGCGUGGGGAGCAAACAGGAUGAGAUACCCUUGUAGUC